CAGCAACCCUAAGAAAUGGAUGGUGAUUUUAUCAACCCCGUUUCACAGAGAAGGAACCCGAGGCUUCAGGAUCUCUAAGUCAUUUGCCCCGCCCAGGUGACCCUGACUCCGGAACGGACGUGCAGCCUUAAGCACCGCGGUGCCCAGCGCGCGCUGUGGAGGGCUCCCCUUGGGCGCAAGACAGGAAUUAAGGUGUGUGACCUCGGACAAGACGUUUAUUCUCAGUUUCCUCACCUGUGAAGAGGGGGUGCCUGCCACCGAUGAUCUUGGAAGGAUUACAGGUAAAGAAGUAGAGUUUCAUCACACUUUGUGUGGCACCACACUCAUUUCCCUU
rnacentral:lncRNA from 1 species